rnacentral:rRNA from 1 species
AUUGAACGCUGGCGGCAGGCCUAACACAUGCAAGUCGAGCGAGUGGCGGACGGGUGAGUAAUGUCUGGGGAUCUGCCUGAUGGAGGGGGAUAACUACUGGAAACGGUCGCUAAUACCGCAUACCAUCAGAUGUGCCCAUAUGGGAUUAGCUUGUUGGUGGGGUAACGGCUCACCAAGGCGACGAUCCCUAGCUGGUCUGAGAGGAUGACCAGCCACACUGGAACUGAGACACGGCCCAGACUCCUACGGGAGGCAGCAGUGGGGAAUAUUGCACAAUGGGCGCAAGCCUGAUGCAGCCAUGCCGCGUGUAUGAAGAAGGCCUUCGGGUUGUAAAGUACUUUCAGCGGGGAGGCGUUACCCGCAGAAGAAGCACCGGCUAACUCCGUGCCAGCAGCCGCGGUAAUAC